rnacentral:rRNA from 1 species
UCAGACGGGGACAACGAUUGGAAACGAUCGCUAAUACCGGAUAGGACGAAAGUUUAAAGGUGCUUCGGCACCACUGAUGGAUGAGCCUGCGGCGCAUUAGCUAGUUGGUAGGGUAAAGGCCUACCAAGGCGACGAUGCGUAGCCGACCUGAGAGGGUGAACGGCCACACUGGGACUGAGACACGGCCCAGACUCCUACGGGAGGCAGCAGUAGGGAAUCUUCGGCAAUGGGCGAAAGCCUGACCGAGCAACGCCGCGUGAAUGAUGAAGGCCUUCGGGUUGUAAAAUUCUGUUAUAAGGGAAGAAUGGCUCUAGUAGGAAAUGGCUAGAGUGUGACGGUACCUUAUGAGAAAGCCACGGCUAACUACGUGCCAGCAGCCGCGGUAAUACGUAGGUGGCGAGCGUUAUCCGGAAUUAUUGGGCGUAAAGAGCGCGCAGGUGGUUGAUUAAGUCUGAUGUGAAAGCCCACGGCUUAACCGUGGAGGCUCAUUGGAAACUGGUCAACUUGAGUGCAGAAGAGGGAAGUGGAAUUCCAUGUGUAGCGGUGAAAUGCGUAGAGAUAUGGAGGAA